CCUCCCAACCUUGCCUUGCCUCCCCACCAAGCAUCAUCACGCAUUUGACGAAUCGCAGCAGAAUCGCAGGAAAACACACAAAAAAGAAAAAAAAAAAGAGCACGGCGAUUUGCAGCUGCAGCCUGCACAGACGAGGAGGAAGAGAAGCUCGCGAUCGUCUCGUCUCGAUCGCCGGGUGUAGUGCGGGCCGGCCGUGUAGCGCGGCCGCGCGCUGUGCGUGAGGAGAGCCGGAUCCGGAUUGCUCGCUAGCCGGUGGCGGCGCUCGGCGGCCGAGGCGAGCGUGGUGACAGAGAAGAGAUCCAUCCAUCCAAUCCAUCCAUGGGAGGAGCGGGGCACCACGACGUGCAUUUCUUGGACGCGUGCUUCCUCUGCCGGAAGCCGCUCGCCAGCAACCGCGACAUCUUCAUGUACAGAGGCGACACGGCGUUCUGCAGCGACGAGUGCAGGAGCGCGCAGAUGGCGGCGGACGAAGCGGCGGAGAGGAACAAGGCCAUGGCCAGCGCGGUGACACAUGGGGCGCUGCCCGCCAGGGAAGCGGAAGCGGAAGGCCCACGGGAACGGGAGCGCGGCAAGGUCCGGGCCGGGUCCAUCCUGGCCCUGUAACCAAAGUCUCUCGAUCUCAAUCUGCCUGUGCACGGGCAUGGCAGUUUUCUUUUCUCUAGCCUUACCUUACGAGACGCGCCACCGGAGGUCGUCAGAUUAGUGUACACGGGUUUGUGUGUUUUUUUGUUGAAAAAAACCCUUUGGGGAUCAUCCGCUGCCGUGUUGGUUCUUGCAUGGUUUGCAUCUUGCAAAUGUUGCAUUGCUUGGUGGUGUGGUCCAUGUACACUGCACGUACGUACUACGUAUUAUGCAUUAUUAGUUAGUCUACUACAAGGAAAUAAUAAUCAAUAAUUGCGUGAUGUGGAGACGCUGUAUGUAUA